UAUGUUGAACACCACGACCGAGCAACGUUAUCCAGGACCGAACAGGGAGGCAAGCCACUGGGCAGGCAGGAACAUCUUCCAUGUUCCUGGAGACUCAAAGGAGAAUCCAGCUUUAAAAUCUCCUCCAAUGACUCCAUAGUGAAGAAUCUGAGCAUCGGUGACUUCAGGGUUUCCAUCCUGCAGAGCUGUUGGAAACAUGAACCAUCAACAGUUACUGUUUGUACUUCCUGUAAGAAGCUGCAGUCUGAUCACAACAUUCACACACAGACACACUGAGACUAAAGUCUGAAUAACAACAAUGAUUCAUGUCAAAUACAUUUUAUUGUCUAAAGUGGUGGAAAAUCUUCUUCCAGUCGACACGACUCAAAAUAUAUCUGAACAUGUUUCCUAUGCAUGAAUAAAAUGACAAUAAAAGAUGAAGAUGAACAAAACAUGACAUGUAAAUGACUCAUAACUCCUCUGUGUGGUACUUGUAGUAAUUAUAUGUUGAGAGAUUGAAGCAACAGCUCAACAUGCAAGUUUUUCAUGUGUUUCAUCCACAGGAAGUGAUGUCAUCAUUUAGUUUAAAUGUACUGCUGGUGUCAAAGUUCAUGAAGCAACAACAAAACCAGUGAUGAAGUUUUUAUUUGUUGUAACUUUGUUUUACUGAGGGUGAUCGUGGCUCAAGAGUUGGGAGUUCACCUUGUAACCUGAAGGUUGCCGGUUCGAGCCCCGGCUUGGACAGUCUCAGUCGUUGUGUCCUUGGGCAAGACACUUCGUUUUUUUUUUUUUUUUGAGGAAGUAACAAAUACUUGCAAUGAACGACAUGUUAUUGAGUAAUUUAUGACUCUAUUUUACAGUUUUUUCUGAAUGCUCAAACCCUAACUGUGAUUCCUGUAGCACAAUCUCUAAAACUAUUCAGACUUAUAGCAAAACCACUCACUGAGUUUGCAAAACUAAAAGCACAAAAACUGCUUUGCACUCAGUUUGCAAUUUUGUAACACACACUUUGCAAAACUGUAGGCACAAUUCACUGCACAACACUCAAUUACCAAAUUUCCAACACACUCCUAGCAAAAGCAUACACAUGUAUGGCUAUCAUUAACACUAAUUUGCCAACUGUCUGGCACACUUUCACAUGUGAAAACUUUUUUAGAUAAUUAGUUCACUUUGCAAUCAGCCUAAGCACUAUAAUACAGGUAAGCUGUGUGUGCGGAGUACAAUGGAGGGAGCAGAAAGAGUGAGAAGUAGAG
ensembl:lncRNA